GCCAGACUCCUACGGGAGGCAGCAGUGAGGAAUAUUGGUCAAUGGCCGGGAGGCUGAACCAGCCAAGUCGCGUGAGGGAAGACGGCCCUACGGGUUGUAAACCUCUUUUGUCAGGGAGCAAGGUGCAGGUCGGGACCUGCUGUGAGAGUACCUGAAGAAAAAGCAUCGGCUAACUCCGUGCCAGCAGCCGCGGUAAUACGGAGGAUGCGAGCGUUAUCCGGAUUUAUUGGGUUUAAAGGGUGCGCAGGCGGAGCCACAAGUCAGCGGUAAAAUCGCGGGGCUCAACCCCGCUCCGCCGUUGAAACUGGCAGUCUCGAGUUGGAGAGAAGUAUGCGGAAUGCGCGGUGUAGCGGUGAAAUGCAUAGAUAUCGCGCAGAACUCCGAUUGCGAAGGCAGCAUGCCGGCGCCACACUGACGCUGAGGCACGAAAGCGUGGGUAUCGAACAGGAUUAGAUACCCCCGUAAA
rnacentral:rRNA from 1 species